rfam:Oryza rufipogon genomic scaffold, chr02
UUUAAGUGCAACCAUAAAUUUUCGCGCCCAAUUUUGAUCGUCCGUCUUAUUUAAAAAAAAAUUAAUUAGUAUUUUUGUUGUUAUGAGAUGAUAAAACAUGAAUAUUACUUUACACGCGACUUAAGUUUUUUAAUUUUUUUAAAAAUUUUCAAAUAAGAUGGACGGUUAAAAUUGGGCACAAAAAAAUUAUAGCUGCACUUAAA